CUAUGGUAUCGCUCCUGCCCAGCUGUGUCCCAAAUCUCAAACUUGACUGUUGUGUCAUCUAGACAAACAGACUGGGUGAGGAAGGCCGCUGUGGAUGAGAGAAUGGAGGGGAAGAAGUUGAUUUCUGUUCCAGAGAGCUAAAAAGGCCAGCUCCACAAUCAGGUCUCUAGAUCUCCCUUCAAAAAGCCUCACUAACGCUGAACCUCCUCUUUCCCUGAGAGGGUCCCAGGUAGCUGACACUCAGUGGUAAGAAUGCGGAACAAUAAAAUAAAAAUUGCAUCGGAAGUGGAGUCUGCCCUACUACAUAAUCUCCAACUGCUAAGGGAGCUGAAAUGGAGAGACUGAAAAUGGUAUGAAGCAAGUUUAUUUCCCAUUACUUUUCCACCAGAUCUUCAAAUAGCAAAUUGAUCAAUUUUUAGUUGGCCCGAAGAACACCCAAAUCUACCCACAAGUACCGUAGACCCCCAGUUAUCUCCUUGGUAUCCCUGGUGCUGUCCUUCCCCUCACCCCCAUCUUUUUUCUAGCUUUCAAAAUGAGAGAUGCACUCUAGGGGUGUGGGAUGAGUCACCCCUCCCUAGGAGCAGAGGGGUAGCUUCUGGGCCCAUAUCCUUCAUACACAACCAGUCUUCUUGAUGUUUCUGAAACUCUAACCAGGGUCCAUUUGCCAGAAAAAUCUGUCCUUUAACAUUUCUGGUCAAAGGUGAGUAGAGAAAUAGACCAUAGACAACUAACAAACCACAUUCAGCAUCAACUUUCUUUUUGCUCCUGCCACCUCUCUGAGUCUGAGAAUCUACCAUGUCUAAGAAUCAGUAGGCUUAACCUCUCAACUUGCAGCUGUCUUCCUGGUGCCUAGGGAUUAGAUUACUCUCCACACUAAAUGGGCCUAACAGCUGUAGCCCUCCAAAUUUGAAGCAGAGAAAGGUGUACCUUUUGACACAAGCAGGAGUCUCCAGAGGAUGAUGCAGGGAUA